CGGUGGUGGUGGUUAUGGCAAUCAGGACCAGAGUGGUGGCGGCGGUGGUGGCUACGGGGGAGGCCAGCAGGAUCGUGGGGGCCGUGGCAGGGGCGGUGGAGGUGGUUACAACCGAAGCAGUGGUGGCUAUGAACCCAGAGGCCGUGGAGGUGGCCGAGGAGGCAGAGGCGGCAUGGGGUAGGUGUCUCAUGAGCCAGGGAGUACCUUCAGUGGGGAAUGUUGCAUGGCUUUCUCUUGAAGUCAAUCCCUAGUGCAUGGUUAGUAUUGUUCUCUGGGCAUAUGUAAGGGCUUCAGUUUGUGGCCAGUAGUGUUUCUUUGUAUAUUCAUUGUGAGAACUUGGGAGCCAAAAUCUCAUUCAUAGCUCUCAGUAGAGAUUUGGGUAUUGGUGUAUUUAUUUCCAAAGAAAAAGAAUAUACACAGAUACAAAUGGGUGGAAGUCGUUAUCUCAGGCAAGAAACUUGGGAGUAAAGACUUGUUUGCAAGGGAAACCUAUUCCUGGGAAAUAUUAGGGAAACUUGUUCUGCGUAUUCAUUCCCAUGUGUCUUCCAAGGGAGUUGGUAAUGGUUAAACUUGACCUUAGCUUCUAGGAAUUAGCUAUUUACUCAUCUAUAUUCUGUAGUUACUUGAGUCAUGAGCCUGAUUUGCACUAAUUUGACUGAUUUGUGUGUGACUUGGUUCAUUUAUGGGGUCUUCUGACUGAAAUGUGCAGACUUGCAGGGUAAAUACACUUGACAGUGGUAUUCUGCUGUCUUAUUCCACUGUUCACCUUUUCUUGGUCAGACAUCAAAUCAACUUGUCCAACCGGAUCUCUUCUAGUUGAAGUAAAACCUUAGAUUUGAUGUUAAAACAGUUUGUCAAAUCUGUUGGUGACUUUAAAGGGACCUUAUCUUCCUUGAAAAGGGGAAAAUGUCAGUGGUAUUUCUUUUUUUGAAGAAAGUAGGUUUUUUGAGUUUGUACAUGGUAAGUAUUCAGAGGUGGGUGGGGGCAGUCUCAAUCAUGCAAAAAUAUGAAAAACUCUUGUUGUGUGCGUGUGUUUAAUGAAAACUUUAAAAAAAAAACAACUGUUAUGUGACUGUUAACUUGCUCUGCAUUUUAUGUGCCACAGGUAUGAAAGGUGACAUUGCAAAAUACUCCGCUCUUCUCACAGUGUAGAAGGGGUGACCCCGGGGGUGAAGGGUGAUUUAAAAACAGCUCAGUAGUUAGGAUAGGGCUUAGCUGAGUUUGUCUUGCUCUAAGGGGAAAUUGCCUUUGGUUAUGACUUUUUAUGGAAUGGGGUUGGGUCUGCUUGCUGCUUUCAAAGCAAAAACCACAAAACAAACAAAACAACAACAAAAAACACGUGUUCAGGGCUAUCCCAGGGCCUGGUGUGAAAUGUCUUCUGGGAAAUAUGGGGUAGAUCUUUUAAACCAACUGCUGGGUUGUCCACCACUUGCAACAAGAGGAAUAAACAUCUACGUCAGAAGAACAACCAAGGAAAAUGAGCUUUUUUUUUCCAGAGGAUGUAGAUACAACUUUUUAAAAGUAAAAUCCUUAACUGUGUCUGAGAAAUUGCACACGUGUGUGAUAAGCUCAAAGGUCAGACAAGGGUGGUCAGGAAGGGGUAUAUUUUAGUAGCCACUUGAAUCUUUUUCCCAAAACACCAACCCAUGUUUGGGGAAUAUUCAAACAAACAAACAAAAAAAACCAAAAAACCCAAAACCAAAACCCUU
rnacentral:lncRNA from 1 species